GUGAACUUUUGUAACUCUUGGAUGUUUGCAUCAUUUGAUUAUAGUGGCAAUUUUGGAGCUGUUUAUUAGUGUCUCUAUUGCAGUAUUAAUUCUGACCUUUAUUAUUGGCCACCAUUAGGCUGUUUGUGCGGGGGCGCCACGUCCGCAGCGAUCCAGCGCGCUGCCUGGUGGCCCUCUCCGCCGUCGGACGUUGCCCCUCCUUACGGCGCACUUUGUUUUCUCUCUACGCACAGACGCCCGUGGAAUACGCAGCCGCAGGUUCCUCCGGUACUGCCGACACCCGCGGGACUAUGGGAGAUAUCGCAGUGGACCGCACUCCCCUUUCGAGGGCUGCCCUCGUUCUUAAGAAGACCAGCUUGGCGACCGGAAGGUUGCAUGGAUCUGAUCAUUGGAGAUCCCAGGUGUACUUUUCUCAGAGCAGAGAUAGUGAGGCUGGAAGUGGCCCGUGUGCCCACCGUGCUCUUGGCUCGGAAGAGUGAGCGCUGCCCGAGAAAAAGGAAGAUGAUGGAUGUGUUGGGAAGACACGGCACACGCGGCGGCCCCGGAAAUCAACGGAAGCGAACGUCGGGCGGCAGGAGAAUUUCUGCGAACGGCUUCCCCGAAAGCCUGCGAUGGAGCCGUGUGCUGGAGCAAGGUAUUUUUACUCUGUCAUCGCGCCGCUUUGUUCCAAGGAGCGCCCCAACGUGUCCGAAUCGGGCGCCGCCGGCCUCGUCUCCGACCAGCGUGCGUGGAAGGGAGUGGAGGUGGAGCAGAGCCACAGUGACACGUUGUAGGGUCCCGACCGGAGGACAUUCAUUCUUGCUCGGACAAAGAUUCUCCAUAAAGGUGGACAACGCUGAGGCUGGGUGUCCAGGACAGAGGGACAGAAAGUGGAGCGGAACGGUGCUCCUGUCCGAAGUGCUGCAAGAGUUCUGGAAGGGGCGAUGA
rnacentral:lncRNA from 1 species